AUAGGAGCUUCUAAUUCUGGUCACACUCACCGCAGCGUCACAGCUGCAGACCUUGUGCCUGCUUCGGUGUGAGACUGCGGCUCUUUGCUGUAGAUGCAGGGUACAUUUUUAUGUUAUAGUGCAAAAGCGGAGGAAGGGACCUGUUUCCAUGACACCAUAAACAGGAAAUGGGAAGGGCCCAGUGCUGCCAGAGGAGUCUAAAUCAGCGUGGAAGUUGCCAGAGAGGGAGUAAAAAAAAAAGUGUGUCCCUCUCACUCCCCCUCAGUAGAAGAGAGCAGGAGUGAAGCGGCGGCGGUCCUUUUAGUGGCCUCCUCCAUGCAGGUUCCAUCCCCUACGGUCACCAUGCCAACCUGUGUGAAGAGGAGGCUUAUAGCUGUGGAGCCCAAAGAGACUUGAUGAGGUCCUGGGAUAAUUAGCAGCUCAUUAUGGAGCCCAGUGAAUGGGCCAAACGAAGCUCCAGGAGCCACAAGAGAGAGCGCAGUGGAAAACACACAGGAUCGGAGCACACAUCAAAGGGAAGCACUCACUUUUCAGAUCACAUAAUACAGAGGAAAGAGAGAAAUAAUGCUCCAUUCACACCUACAAAUAUAGCUCAUAAUCCCCAUUUUUAAGCCUCUGUGUGUGUGUGUGUGUGGGUGUGUGCAUGUGUGUUUCUCUGCGUCACACCAAUCUGUGUAUUUCUUUUCCCCAGAGGCCCUUAGCUGCUCCACAAAUACACGAAACACACACACAGAAAUGUGCACACAACUCACAACUCUCAAACUUAAGCUCUCAUAAAGUACGGGAACACUGUGUGAGUGCCAGAGAUUCCCCAGUUAAGCUAUCUGUCUAUCAUCCCCAUUCCUGUUCCUGUACAUCUCACCGUGUGUCUGUGCCUCCACUUGGCAUGCAGGCAGGCACUAGUCACGCAGAAUAAAGCGUGCACACCGCUGUGCCAGGUGACCCACAUUGCAGUGCGGCUGAGUUUAACCGUGCAUGGCCUCCAUUUUGUCUGUGUGUUUGUGUCACAGUGACAUGCAGUAGCAAUGCUGAGUGUGUGUGACAUGUCAUGUGUUAUUUUAAAGGUGAUAUUUCACAUGGUGUGUCAUCAUGUAUUAUUGUGGCUGUGUGAUAGAGGGAUCAUUAACAUGGGCCUUUCUCACAGCAGACAUUUUAACUUGUCAUAGUAGGAAAAGCACAGACGUUACUAAUAACACCAACGAUGACUCUGCUCUAUUGAAAGGGUUCCAGUUGAGUGUGACAGUGAGACAGGAUGCACAAUACCAGGACCCUGAAAUCCAAGCAGCUAAAUGAAAUUCAGCCAUCAUUAACUUCAUCAUUUACACGGGUGUGACAAGUCAAAAUGUCUUCUGUGAAAAAGGCUGAUUGAAUUGAAUCCAUCUCUCUCUACUCAUUAGCAUCCAGGGUACCAAAAACCAAAUGAUGAGAACCACACAAGUCACAGUCUACAGAAAGCAUUUCCACUCCACUAGGUGUCCCGUGGUCUAGGGGUAUGAUUCUCGCUUUGGGGUGCGAAAGGUCGCCGGUUUAAAUCCCGGACGAGCCCCCAUUUGUCACAAACUGGCUCAUGAAAAGUGACAAAAAGGGAGUCCACGCAAGGUUAUAUGUAAAACCAACCAUCACUAUCAAACUACGGUUAACUCAAAUGUACAAUGGAGUGUGUAGAUCAGUAAUGUCAGCAAAUGAAUAUGGUGCAUGGAUGUGUGACAUUAUGUGCUGUGGAGGUGUUGAAGGUGCAGAACCAAAAGAUAGUGAUGCCCGGUGGAUGUGGCUGUAGGAAGAGAGAGAGAGAUUUAACACCUGGAGCAGCUUUCGUAGCCUGGAAGGCCCAGGUGAGGUCAGUCAAGCUGACGAACCUCCCUCGUCAGCCAGCUUCCUGCUGAGGUUGGCCAGGGCAGCCUCCAAGAUGUCACACACACACACACACACAGCAGGGCAUACAAUAUGACCUAGAUUUAAUAUUAAGGAAAAUAUACAGAAAUACGCUGCAAUGGAGCCGUGCACUUUAAGAAAAAUAGUAAAAAUGUGUAGAAAAA